rnacentral:rRNA from 1 species
UAGGGAAUAUUGCGCAAUGGGCGAAAGCCUGACGCAGCAACGCCGCGUGGGUGAUGAAGCUUCUUGGAGUGUAAAACCCUGUCGGUGGGGAAGAAACGUACGUGGAGUAACUGCCACGUGCCUGACGGUACCCACAGAGGAAGUCCCGGCUAACUCCGUGCCAGCAGCCGCGGUAAUACGGGGGGGACAAGCGUUGUUCGGAUUCACUGGGCGUAAAGGGCGCGUAGGCGGGCCUUCAAGUCAGAUGUGAAAUCUGCCGGCUUAACCGGUAGCCUGCAUCUGAUACUGAGGGUCUUGAGUACGGAAGAGGAGAGCGGAAUUCCAGGUGUAGCGGUGAAAUGCGUAGAUAUCUGGAAGAACACCAGUAGCGAAGGCGGCUCUCUGGUCCGAUACUGACGCUCAAGCGCGAAGGCUAGGGGAGCAAACA